rnacentral:rRNA from 1 species
ACGGAGGGGGCUAGCGUUAUUCGGAAUUACUGGGCGUAAAGCGCACGUAGGCGGACUGGAAAGUCAGAGGUGAAAGCCCAGGGCUCAACCUUGGAACUGCCUUUGAAACUCCCAGUCUUGAGGUCGAGAGAGGUAAGUGGAAUUCCGAGUGUAGAGGUGAAAUUCGUAGAUAUUCGGAGGAACACCAGUGGCGAAGGCGGCUUACUGGCUCGAUACUGACGCUGAGGUGCGAAAGCGUGGGGAGCAAACAGG